UACGUAGGGUGCAAGCGUUGUCCGGAAUUAUUGGGCGUAAAGAGCUCGUAGGCGGUCUGUCGCGUCUGCUGUGAAACUCAGGGCUUAACCCUGAGCUUGCAGUGGGUACGGGCAGACUAGAGUGCGGUAGGGGGAAUGGAAUUCCUGGUGUAGCGGUGGAAUGCGCAGAUAUCAGGAGGAACACCGAUGGCGAAGGCAGGUCUCUGGGCAUUAACUGACGCUGAGGAGCGAAAGCAUGGGAGCGAACAGG
rnacentral:rRNA from 1 species